CAACUACUCCCUCCGUUCGGAAUUACUUGUCUUGGAAAUGGAUGUAUCUAGAACUAAAAUACAUCUAGAUACAUCCAUUUCUGCGACAAGUAAUUCCGAACGGAAGGAGUAGUAG
rnacentral:pre_miRNA from 1 species